rnacentral:rRNA from 1 species
AUGGAGAUCGAAAUAGCACCCGACUCCCCUGCCCCCAUGCCGCGCUCCGGCGACAUCGCGGUCGCCGACGGGACCGCGACUCUCUCUCCGCCACCGUCGCCGCCACAGGGCCCUGCGUCGCCGUCACCGUCCCUCUCUCCUCGGGAUGACGUGCUCCCCCUCUCCCCUCCCCGCAACAGCCCCGCCCGGCGCCGCCGCUCUAAGCCCCUUCGCGCCGCGGUCGUCGACCAAGGCGCGGGCGCCGUCGGGUCUCCGCGAAGGAAGCGCCGCGGGGCGGGGGAGCCGCGCACGGCCGCGUCGCCCGGGAAGAACGUGAGGCGAGCGCGCCGGCGGCUGGACAACGAUGGCGGGAGGGAGUUGACGGCGAACGAGGCGGCCGAUGAGGAAGCGGCGGGUAAGACCCAGAGAAGAAAGACCGCGGCGCAGCCUCUGACAGCCGUGAAGGAGAAGAAGGGUUCCAGCUUGGCUUUGGUGCCAUACCCUCCCAUCAAUCCAACCCGAGGUGCAGAGAAUGUAGAGCAGUUUGAUUGGGAAGGUCUUUGGGAAAGGGUUGUUGACUUGGUGAUGUGGAAGAAUGUUGGGAGAUCAGCAUUUUGGUUCGGCUCUGGGUCCAUGCUUUUCGUCUCUUCUUCCUUUUCAAAAGACGUCAAUUUCAGUCCAAUCAAGAUACUUUGCCAUUUUGGUGUUGUGACAUUGGUCUUAGCUUUCUUCAAAGAUUCCAUUCCUCAGAGCUGUAACAGGCAGAACACUGAACAAGUAAGGAGUUUCCAGUUGACUGAGGAAGAUGUGCUCCGGGUUGGCCGAGCUGUCCUGCCAAUUGCUAACUCUCUCAUAUCUAUGUCCCGAGUGAUCUUCUCUGGUGAUCCAUCCAUGACUCUGAAAGUGUUUCCUAUUCUUCUAUUUGGUGCUAAGUAUGGCCAUCUGUUCACAGUAUGGAGGCUUCUAGCAACAGGAUUCUUUGGUUGUUUUACACUCCCAAAACUCUAUAGCUGCUAUUCAAGUCAUAUUCAUGAAAAAGUUGAAGGUUUGAAUGCCCGGAUUCUGAAUGCAUGGAAGUCCUGUCCCCGCAAGAAACUUGUUGCAGCUGCUGCAGUGACGACCUUCUGGAACUUGGUUAGUGUGAAGACACGUGUAAUGGCUGCCUUCGUAUCUGCGGUAGCGCUGCGCUACCACUAUCAGUAUGGACGAAGUAGCAGGAAUUCAGAGGGGGUAAUACGGCGGCAGGAGCAGCAACAAGCAAUGGUUCUCGAAGACUGA